AAUAAAAUCUACCCAUUGCAGUUAAAUAAAACUUAAGCAUUAUAUUUAUCUAUUUCCAAAUGAAGAGAAUAUUGAGUGAAUUCAAAUUAAUGUAAUCAGGCAAAUUUUAAUUGAAAAGCACUUCCUGUCAAAAUGCAUUUAAAAAAAAAAAAAAAAAAAAAAAAAAAAGCAGCAGGCCUACAUAUUAAUUUUCUUCCACAUUGCUCAUCUUGCUAAACUUAACUGGUUGACUUGGGUAAGAAAACUUCUUUUGUUAUCACUGGGCUAGUAAGAAGCAUGUAGUGGUAUAUUACAAUAUUAAAUGAGUUAUCACAGAGAAAGAGACUCAGCAGCAACACAAAGUUAGCUUGUGUUGGAAGGCUAUAGUGUGGUGUUGUUGCGCUAUAAUAUAAACACAGCAUCAUACAUUUUGGAAGAAUUCUUAGGUAUCGUAGUCAAACCUUUAUUUUAAGGAUGUGGGUUAGCAGUUUCACUAUCAUGGUUCCUAUGUCUUUUGUGUGUUAAUAUCAUAUCCUCGGUAUGUUUUUAUGAAAUUGCGUAAAUGAGUACAUUUGGGUUUUAUUUUAAGGUUCCAUAAAGAGCAAUAUUUGGGGUUAUCGCUGGAAAAGCAUUGUAUAUUUUAGACGGCACUUGACGCACUUCCGUUGGCUUUACUUCUCGUGUGUGGAGAUCGUCUUCCCGAGACAGGUGCCUCCAAAUGAGAUGGCAGUGUAAAGUCUGUGGAUUCAGAGCGACAACAAGGGGUGAUCUUCUGCAGCAUUACAGACUACAGCACAGGACAUUUGAGAUUGGAAAUUCGGCCACCUGACAUGGAUUCAGCAGUGCUCCGGGUCCUCUUUGGUUACAGAAUAGAGAAACUGACUCUUCCAUCCGGAAUACCAGAGACAAUGGAGGAACUGAACUUGGCCAUCAAGCAGACAUUAAGUAUACCCGACGACUUCAGCCUGCAGUAUUUAGAUCCAGAUUUUGAUGACUUUUCUACUCUCAACUCCACUGCUGAAAUUACACACAAAGCCACAAUUAAGGUUGUGACAAUCAAUCCAGUUGUUCUCAAUUUGUACCCAUUACCACUCAAUGACAGCUACAAUGAAAGUUUCACCUCAGAGCAAUCCCAUGAUCCUGCCUCCACAAGUUCCACUGUACAAGACUCCUGUGGCUCAUGUAAUUCAUCAUCUGAAAGCUCAACCAUCAUGUCAGCAAGCAGCAGCCUACAAAAGAAACCAUGGCCAACUGAUUUCAUUAUUCCACGAUUCUCUGUUGAAACUGAAAUGAUUCUUGAAAGAGCAAAUGAAGUUUAUAGAAAAGAAGGCACA